CCUACGGGAGUCUGCAGUGAGGAAUAUUGGUCAAUGUGCGGGAGCCUGAACCAGCCAAGUCGCGUGAGGGAUGACGGCCCUAUGGGUUGUAAACCUCUUUUGCCGGGGAGCAAAGUGCCGCACGUGUGCGGUUUGGAGAGUACCCGGAGAAAAAGCAUCGGCUAACUCCGUGCCAGCAGCCGCGGUAAUACGGAGGAUGCGAGAGUUCUCCGGAUUUAUUGGGGUUAAAGGGUGCGUAGGCGGUUCGAUAAGUUAGAGGUGAAAUCCAGGGGCUCAACUCCGGCACUGCCUCUGAUACUGUCGGGCUAGAGUUUAGUUGCGGUAGGCGGAAUGAAUGGUGUAGCGGUGAAAUGCAGAGAGAUCAUACAGAACACCGAUUGCGAAGGCAGCUUACCAAACUACGACUGACGUUGAGGCACGAAAGCGUGGGGAGCAAACAGGAUUAGAUACCCGUGUAGUC
rnacentral:rRNA from 1 species